rnacentral:miRNA from 11 species
AUAUGUAUAUACAUAGUAUGUAUAUAUGUGUGUGUGUGUGUGUGUGUAUAAAUAUAUACACACACAUACAUACAUACAUACAUAUAUACA